GAGGGUAUAGCUCAGUGGUAGAGCAUAUGCUUAGCAUGCACGAGGUCCUGGGUUAAAUCCCCAGUACCUCCA
rnacentral:tRNA from 1 species